rnacentral:rRNA from 1 species
GUUGGGAACUUCCCUAUGGUUCGGAAUAGCUCAGGGAAACUUGAGGUAAUACCGGAUUAAGCCCUUCGGGGGGAAAGAUUUAUCGCCAUUGGAUGGGCCCGCGUAGGAUUAGCUAGUUGGUGAGGUAACGGUCACCAAGGGAGAUCCUUACUGGUCUGAGAGGAUGAUCAGCACACUGGGACUGAAACCGGCCAGACUCCUACGGGAGGCAGCAGUGGGGAAUAUUGGACAAUGGGCGCAAGCCUGAUCCAGCCAUGCCGCGUGAGUGACGAAGGCCUUAGGGUUGUAAAGCUCUUUUGUCAGGGAAGAAACGGUGGUUUCUAAUACAGAUCACUAAUGACGGUACCUGAAGAAUAAGCACCGGCUAACUUACGUUGCCAGCAGCCGCGGUAAUACGUAGGGUGCAAGCGUUAAUCGGAAUUACUGGGCGUAAAGCGUGCACAGGCGGUUUUGUAAGUCUGUCGUGAAAUCCCCGGGCUCAACCUGGGAAUUGC